rnacentral:lncRNA from 1 species
GCGCAAGCGGAUUUUUGCACCAACAAGUGGUAAAAAUAGUUGCGUCGUAAAUAAUUCCAUCACAAAAACUCUAUUUUCUUAUAGUAUGCCUUCAUCAAAGAAGAACUACUUCUUGUAGAAACUAGGAUGCUCGAAAAAAAAUUGAAAUCAUAUAUUAUCAAGAUCUGGAUAAAAAUAUUCUAUUGAUACAGUCAGAUAUCUUUUUUCUGAUUUAUAUUUCAGAUUAAUAUUGCUCAUUUUUUCUUUAAUCAC